rnacentral:rRNA from 1 species
UGGGGAAUAUUGGACAAUGGGCGCAAGCCUGAUCCAGCCAUGCCGCGUGAGUGAUGAAGGCCCUAGGGUUGGAAAGCUCUUUCACCGGUGAAGAUAAUGACGGUAACCGGAGAAGAAUCCCCGGCUAACUUCGUGCCAGCAGCCGCGGUAAUACGAAGGGGGCUAGCGUUGUUCGGAUUUACUGGGCGUAAAGCGCACGUAGGCGGACUUUUAAGUCAGGGGUGAAAUCCCGGGGCUCAACCCCGGAACUGCCUUUGAUACUGGAAGUCUUGAGUAUGGUAGAGGUGAGUGGAAUUCCGAGUGUAGCGGUGAAAUUCGUAGAUAUUCGGAGGAACACCAGUGGCGAAGGCGGCUCACUGGACCAUUACUGACGCUGAGGUGCGAAAGCGUGGGGAGCAAACAGG